rnacentral:rRNA from 1 species
AAACUUUCAACAACGGAUCUCUUGGUUCUGGCAUCGAUGAAGAACGCAGCGAAAUGCGAUAAGUAAUGUGAAUUGCAGAAUUCAGUGAAUCAUCGAAUCUUUGAACGCACAUUGCGCCCCCUGGUAUUCCGGGGGGCAUGCCUGUUCGAGCGUCGCAAA